rnacentral:rRNA from 1 species
CCUACGGGAGGCAGCCGUGGGGGAUAUUGGACAAUGGGGGGAACCCUGAUCCAGCGACGCCGCGUGAGUGAAGAAGUAUUUCGGUAUGUAAAGCUCUGUCAGCAGGGAAGAAAGAAAUGACGGUACCUGACCAAGAAGCCCCGGCUAACUACGUGCCAGCAGCCGCGGUAAUACGUAGGGGGCAAGCGUUAUCCGGAAUUACUGGGUGUAAAGGGGGCGUAGACGGUUAAGUAAGUCUGGAGUGAAAGGCCGGGGCCCAACCCCGGGACUGCUCUGGAAACUAUUGAACUUGAGUGCAGGAGAGGUAAGCGGAAUUCCUAGUGUAGCGGUGAAAUGCGUAGAUAUUAGGAGGAACACCAGUGGCGAAGGCGGCUUACUGGACUGUAACUGACGUUGAGGCUCGAAAGCGUGGGGAGCAAACAGGAUUAGAUACCCCUGUAGUC